UCUAAAAUCAGAUCUUUCAUUAAGCCAUUUUUCCUUCUCUCUAAAACCAGGUUCUUCAAAUCCUCUGUCUUCUCUCUAGCUAUACUCUCCAUUGAACCGUUCAAAUUUUACUUGGGUGCUGCUAAACCGUUCCUGGCGUCAAGGGCUUCACUUCGAACCGAUUACUUUCUCUGUCUCCUUCUAGUUCUGUAAGUGCAUCGCCGUGUGGGUCACUGUUAAGGCGUUUUCUGUAGACUGUACGGAACAACCUAGAGAGGAGAAUGAGGUCUC